rnacentral:rRNA from 1 species
ACUACGGGAGGCAGCAGUGGGGAAUAUUGGACAAUGGGCGAAGGCCUGAUCCAGCCAUGCCGCGUGUGUGAAGAAGGCCUUCGGGUUGUAAAGCACUUUCAGUGGGGAAGAAAGCCUUGGGGCUAAUACCCUCGAGGAAGGACAUCACCCACAGAAGAAGCACCGGCUAACUCCGUGCCAGCAACCGCGGUAAUACGGAGGGUGCGAGCGUUAAUCGGAAUUACUGGGCGUAAAGCGCGCGUAGGCGGUCUGAUAAGCCGGUUGUGAAAGCCCCGGGCUCAACCUGGGAACGGCAUCCGGAACUGUCAGGCUAGAGUGCAGGAGAGGAAGGUAGAAUUCCCGGUGUAGCGGUGAAAUGCGUAGAGAUCGGGAGGAAUACCAGUGGCGAAGGCGGCCUUCUGGACUGACACUGACGCUGAGGUGCGAAAGCGUGGGUAGCAAACAGGAUUAGAUACCCCGGUAGUC